AAUGCUUCUUCUUCCAGAAUCGCCUCGUUGGCUUUAUCGCAAGGGAAGGCAAGAGGAAGCUAAGACAAUACUAAGGAAUAUAUAUUCAUCUGAACAAGUUGAGGUCGAAAUUCAAGCUCUUAAAGAAUCAGUAGACAAUGAAAUUGAAGAAAACAGAGUAUCUGAAAACAUCAAUCUCUUCAAACUAUGCCAGACGAAAACAGUUCGUCGUGGACUAAUAGCUGGAGUUGGUCUUCAAGUCUUCCAACAAUUUGUAGGCAUAAACACUGUCAUGUAUUACAGUCCUACUAUCAUUCAGCUGGCUGGAAUUGCCUCGAACCAGACAGCUCUCCUUCUAUCACUUGUUACAGCGGGGCUAAACGCUUUUGGCUCCAUUGUGAGCAUAUAUUUUAUAGAUAGGACUGGAAGGAAG
rnacentral:misc_RNA from 1 species